GCUCCCCUGCUCGUGCUCUCUCUCUCUCCAAACUAUAUAAAACAUAAAAAAGAUUCACACUGCCAAGAAAAAGUUGGAGGUGUGUGCGAGGUGGAGAGGAACGAUUCCAGUCCUGCAGGGCAACCAUACUGGACGUCACCAGUCGGGCUAUCCCAGGACGGGCGUCCAGAAGGGGCCCCGCUGCCUGUGUCCCUCUCUUCUUUCCGCAGACGUGAUGUGCUCUCAGGUACCUUGCUUGGACUCAAGCCAAACUCGAAGAGAAGGUCCUUCUAAACCCACCCUUUUCAAAGCAGAGAAGAGGUACCCUCCUCCUCCUCCUGGAGGUGAACCAGGAGGCACAUGCCUCCCCCGAGGGUCCCAGCCUGGGGACAGGCUGCCCCUCAGAAGAGCUGGGGGCUCAGCGAAGAACACGCAGGCCCGAAGAGACUGAGAACUCGCAGAGCAAAUCACCCGGAAAGAAGCUCUGGGUGUUUCUGUUGUCACCAGUAGGACGUGGAUUUUCUGUUGCUGAACAGAAGCCCUCUGCUAAAAUCGCCUUUGGAAACCUUUGCUGUUCGUAGGCAACUGUGAUCGCAAAGAAGUAAAACCAAUAUGCCUGCUACAGAAGUGGCCUCCGAGGGGCGGCGUGGGAGCUCCAGCGGGCACGCGGGAGAGUCGCGGGCCUGAGAGCGUGAGAAAUCACCAUUCUGCUGAAAGCAGAGAAGGCAGAGAUGGAGAAACCGUUCCUCCUCUUUCACGGCAAACACCCCGCGGGGUCACGGGGCAAAUAUCACCGGUGCUGACACGUGGCCUUACGAGGCAAGCUCAGCUACAAGGCCCUCCCUUCCAGGAGGUGUUCUGGAACACGUGGGGCAGGUCGCCCCUCCGCAGAAACGAGCCGGACUACUGCCGUUCGGGAGCUAGAGGCCAAAGCAGCGUCCGGUGGAAUCACACCGUCCAACAGCCGGGGAAGCCGUGGAGGAAGCCAGGACGGCCCGCGGCCUCGUGGCCUGGCCUGCAGACCGCCUGUGGGCACCCGUCUGGGGCCCCUCCACGUCCGGCGUCGCCGCUGCGUACCCCUUUCACUCUGAAAAGGGCCAGAUGUGGGCCGCCAAUGAUCCGGCCCGCCACCUCCAGGACUGACGCGUCUGGGAACGUAGCAUCACCGAGUCCUUUUCUUCGUUGACCGGGGCAGCCCGGAGGAGAGAUUGGGGUCCGGUGGAAAGCGACCCCGAGCCUUCCAGCACAGCGUCUCGUGCCUUCAGGGCACGCUGCGGGGCUGGGAGGGGGCCCUCUCUCCCAGGGAUGCGUGCUGCGGGCCCUCCCCCCUUCUCUUCUGUGAUGGGGGGGUGAGGAGAGCGCCUGCACACGUGGGGGGGGGGCGUGCUGGUUGCCUCCCCCCAGGCACACACCAUCCGCACACCGUGCACGCGGGCUGAGCACUCGAAACACAAGCUCGACUGCGGUCCCGGUCUCCCGGGGCCCUCAGAGGUGUGGGGGGCUAGCCUGGGCCAGUGCCGGGCACGGGGUCAGCAACCGUGAGGCAAGGGCAAGGCCUCGGGGGUUCACGGCUGAGGAAGGCAGGAGAGGGGCUGGAAGGUUCUCACGCGGUUGACAGUCCGUAUGGAUGCGGCCAGCGGAUGGGGAUACUGAGUCACGCCAGGGCCUCCUUGUUCUUCCAGGCAGCUGUGCACGGCUCGACUUCGGGAUUUCCCUGUGCACGGGUUACGGAGCAAGGCGGGCACGACCUGUCCAAAGAGGAGAAGGUCAAGGCCCAGGAGAAGAGACCCAGGGCAACUGUCCUGAGCCCUGAUCUCCCCCACCGCUGUCCUAGGAGGCAGGAGGGCCCUGCUGGAACCCGUCCCUCUGGUUACUGUCCCGUCGACAGCGAAUCUUGGCAUCCGCGCUGCUCGCCGAUCUGGACAGCCUCCAGACAGCAGGAAGUACCCUCGCUUUGCAUUUAGAGCCUGAGCUCCGUCUCUCCUAAUCUCUCCGCACAGACCGCCGUGCCUGAGACCCCAGCCAGGGCAGAGUGAGGGGCCUGACCCCAAAGGGGCAGUCAGACUCUCCCAGGCUCUGGCGGACCAGCGAGGACGAGCACGUCUGGUGGGACCCACUCUCCUGUCGGUGUGCCCUGUCUGUGCGUGUGUGCGUGUGCAAUGCCAUAGUGGACGAGGAUCAGGUUGGGGAUCCGAGGGGAGGCUCACUGCGGCCCACCGCCCUCAGCGGUCCGUUUGGCUCUUGGCCGCUGAGAGGAGAGAACUACGGUCUCUGGGUAACUCCCUCUCUCUUUGGCCUUGUAAGGAAUAUCUAGGGAAGACAGCAGAAGGUGUGUCGGGGAGAUUUGCAGGUGGCAUCAGAAGGUAUGAGAGAAAAGUGGGUUCUUCCCCUGCCCCUCCCACCCCGUCCACCUGGCCCCAC